rnacentral:rRNA from 1 species
GAUGAACGCUGGCGGCGUGCCUAAUACAUGCAAGUCGAGCGAAAAGAUGAGGCGCUUGCGCCUCUGACGUUAGCGGAGGACGGGUGAGUAACACGUGUAUACCCUACCUAUAAGACUGGGAUCACUUCGGAAAACCGGCGCUAAUACCAUAUGAUAUAUUGAACCGCAGGGUUCAAUGGUGAGAGACGGCGUUGCUGUCACUUAUCGCUGCAUACGAGCCGCUUUGGGUAGUUGGUAAGGUAAAGGGUUACCAAGGCGAGUCUGCGUAUCCGACGGAAGAGGGUGGUCGGCGGCACUGGAGCGGGACCACGGUCCAUACUCCUACGGGAGGGAGCAGUAGGGAAUCUUCCGCAAUGGGCGAAAGCCUUACGGAGCGACGCCGCGUGAGUGAUGACGAUCCUCGGAGCGGAAUGCUCUGUUAUUAGUGAAGAACAAAUUUGUAAGUAGCCAUGGACUGCUUGACGGUACCGAGUCAGAAAGCCACGGCUAACUACGUG